rnacentral:rRNA from 1 species
CCUACGGGAGGCAGCAGUGGGGAAUAUUGGACAAUGGGGGCAACCCUGAUCCAGCCAUGCCGCGUGUGUGAAGAAGGCCCUCGGGUUGUAAAGCACUUUCAGUGAGGAAGAACGCCUGGUGGUUAAUACCCAUCAGGAAAGACAUCACUCACAGAAGAAGCACCGGCUAACUCCGUGCCAGCAGCCGCGGUAAUACGGAGGGUGCGAGCGUUAAUCGGAAUUACUGGGCGUAAAGCGCGCGUAGGUGGCUUGAUAAGCCGGUUGUGAAAGCCCCGGGCUCAACCUGGGAACGGCAUCCGGAACUGUCAAGCUAGAGUGCAGGAGAGGAAGGUAGAAUUCCCGGUGUAGCGGUGAAAUGCGUAGAGAUCGGGAGGAAUACCAGUGGCGAAGGCGGCAUUCUGGACUGACACUGACACUGAGGUGCGAAAGCGUGGGUAGCUAACAGGAUUAGAUACCCGUGUAGUC